rnacentral:rRNA from 1 species
CCUACGGGUGGCUGCAGUGGGGAAUAUUGGGCAAUGGGCGCAAGCCUGACCCAGCAACGCCGCGUGAAGGAAGAAGGCUUUCGGGUUGUAAACUUCUUUUCUCAGGGACGAAGCAAUUGACGGUACCUGAGGAAUCAGCCACGGCUUACUACGUGCUAGCAGCCGCGGUAAUACGUAGGUGGCAAGCGUUAUCCGGAUUUACUGGGUGUAAAGGGCGUGUAGGCGGGACGGCAAGUCAGAUGUGAAAACCACGGGCUCAACCUGUGGCCUGCAUUUGAAACUGGAGUUCUUGAGUACUGGAGGGGCAGACGGAAUUCCUAGUGUAGCGGUGAAAUGCGUAGAUAUUAGGAGGAACACCAGUGGCGAAGGCGGUCUGCUGGACAGCAACUGACGCUGAGGCGCGAAAGCGUGGGGAGCAAACAGGAUUAGAUACCCGAGUAGUC